AUUGUUGCGGUAUACACAAACUCAUGUGAUCAAAAUCUAAAUAAUUGCCUUGAACUCAUCAAGCAAGUUGCCAAAGUACAAGGACAACUCUUUGGGAUCCUCACUACAACUGCUCAAGAAGGAGGACAUAACGAUGGUGUGGAAACAAUCAAGUCACGCCUUUUGCCUUGGUUAGAAGCUUCUUUUACGGCUGCUUCCCUGGGAAGACCUAUUGAUAGCAAGGUCCCCUCUCUACAGGACACGUUUGAUAGAGAGAGACAUAAAGAGCAGGGUCUUCGGGAUCAAGAUCUACAACAAUUAAACUCCGACUCGAACUCAACCCAUAAUCAGCUCAACCAGGUCAAAGACAAGUUUAAAUCCCUUCAAGCCCAGGAGGUUGCCCACCACAGAAGCACUGCAACUAGGCGCCAAGAGCAGUGCAAAACUGAGCAGAGGGUUUUGGCCAGGCAGAACACAGACCAGCGGGACACAGAGCUGUAUGAGGUGUAUGAGAAACAGAUCCGAGACCUGAAAGAUGAGAUAGCUGUCCUGUCUGCAGAAAAAUCUAGUCUCCAAGGAAGGUCAGCCAGGAGCCAGUCUCCUAGCCCUGAGCAUCAGAGCCACAGUGACAACUAUAGCCAGAGCAGGUCUGCCAGCCCCUCUACCGCAGUUGCCAAGGACAGAAGCCCAUCACCAAAUCGGUCCAAACUGUCCAGUGUGGCUCGCAAGGCUGCCCUCCUGUCCAGGUUCAGUGAUGCCUAUUCGCAAGCCCGCCUGGAUGCACAGUGCCUGCUUCGGCGCUGCAUCGACAAUGCUGAGACUGUGCAGCGCAUCAUCUACAUUGCCACUGUGGUAUGUGACAUGGCCAGGGCUGGGAACAAUGGUUUGGUAAGGUUAUAGUACAACUUUAAGACUGAGAGAUCCUGAGGUCACUGAAUGAAGGAAUUCUGUAGUCUCCCCAUCUGUCCCCUUUCUCCUUCUCUCCCUUCCUUCCUCCCUCCUUUCUUUCUUUCCUUUUUCUUUCAUCACAAACAUGUGAGUGUGAAUUGCUUUUCACAAUCAGUAGCCUUUUAUACAUGUGCUAAUAUUUAUAUUGGCCAGACAUUUGUUGAAGAAGUAUCCAUGACUGCAGAACUAUCUUCAGUGGGUAUAAACAAAGUUGAUUUCCAUGGUC
rnacentral:lncRNA from 1 species